ACGAACGCUGGCGGCGUGCCUAAUACAUGCAAGUCGAACGCACUCUCGUUUAGAUUGAAGGAGUUUGCUCCUGAUUGAUAAACAUUUGAGUGAGUGGCGGACGGGUGAGUAACACGUGGGUAACCUGCUCUAAAGUGGGGGAUAACAUUUGGAAACAGAUGCUAAUACCGCAUAAAACCUAACACCGCAUGGUGUAGGGUUGAAAGAUGGUUUCGGCUAUCACUUUAGGAUGGACCCGCGGUGCAUUAGUUAGUUGGUGAGGUAAAGGCUCACCAAGACCGUGAUGCAUAGCCGACCUGAGAGGGUAAUCGGCCACACUGGGACUGAGACACGGCCCAGACUCCUACGGGAGGCAGCAGUAGGGAAUCUUCCACAAUGGACGAAAGUCUGAUGGAGCAACGCCGCGUGAGUGAAGAAGGUUUUCGGAUCGUAAAACUCUGUUGUUGGAGAAGAAUGUAUCUGAUAGUAACUGAUCAGGUAGUGACGGUAUCCAACCAGAAAGCCACGGCUAACUACGUG
rnacentral:rRNA from 1 species